rnacentral:tRNA from 1 species
AAACCCGUGGCUCAAUGGUAGAGCGUUCGACUCAAAUACGAAAGGCCGCGGGUUCA